UGCACCUGCUAUCAUUUCCUUUUAUCAUCUAGCUCCCAUUCCUGUAUUUCCCCAAACACCAAAAACACAUUGCUGCUGGACAUGUUUUUUAAAAAGCAUUUUUAAAGGUUUAGCAAUAGCAGAAGAUUAUUGCCAAAAGAAAGCAGAAAAACAAGUUAAAAACAAAUAGUAGGUGUCAAUGUUGCACAAAUUUGCUAACCUGCACUGACCUAGUGUAUACAUCCAACCAACUAGUUAACCAGUUGGGCCUCAGUUCAGCAACUGAUAGGCGCAGCUGUAGCCGCUGAUGAAGGGAGGAGUGAGUUGUGAUAGAAGCCAGAUUCUCCUUCCUGGAGGAGGCGCAAGAAAUGCCAUCAGCUCCUUCGGACACUGCCGGCACUGUUUACCUAACUCCCACAACUCAGCAGGGGUAUAAGCACAAUAAAAGGGUGAGCCCACAGUGGUGGAGGAGCCUUCUCCCUGUCAGCAUCAGACGGAACGGGAGUCUCCGGCCAGGAGGACAGGCUCAAGGUCGAGCUGACAGCUGUUUCCAACUCCUGCUUCAGGCUGUUUGUCUGAGCCUCCAAGUGCCCUGUUUGCACCUGAAGGUCCCCCACCCCCAGGUCUUGCUCCAAGCUGUGCACUUGGGGCCCCAGGCGUGGGCUUGUGCCGGAAGGUCCCUUAUCUGUGGGACUGGGCAUGUACUUCCCUCAGUGCAGUCAGAAACGCCCAUCUGACUCUGCCAUCGAAGGUG